rnacentral:rRNA from 1 species
GACGAACCGUGCGAACGUUGUUCGGAAUCACUGGGCUUAAAGGGCGCGUAGGCGGCUUGUCAAGUCAGGGGUGAAAUCUUUCGGCUUAACCGGAAAAGUGCCUUUGAUACUGACAGGCUCGAGGGAGGUAGGGGUAUGUGGAACUUCCGGUGGAGCGGUGAAAUGCGUUGAUAUCGGAAGGAACGCCGGUGGCGAAAGCGACGUACUGGACCUCUUCUGACGCUGAGGCGCGAAAGCUAGGGGAGCAAACGGG